UGCUCACUCAGGUUAAAAGUAUGUAAUUUCACGAGGAACACUUUGGGACUCAUCCUGCUGUGAAGUCAUUGCUCAAUUUCUCUCAGCAGCGGAAAAUUAUUAGAAAGUUGAAGGAAAGUCACAAAUUGUCAGGAAGCAGGCUGCUGGAAGGAUAGUGCAAGCAACAUCAUAAAACUAACUGUCUCCAGAAGACAGUUUCAUGUAUUGAUUACAGGUGUGCUGCU
rnacentral:lncRNA from 1 species